rnacentral:snoRNA from 1 species
ACCUGUGUGUCCCUGCUCCCCUGUGCUCAGCUCUGGCAGGGGAGCUUGAAAAAAAAAACGCUGUUCAGAAACCAAGGCCGAAUCACAAU